GGGGCUGAUUCUGGAUUCGACGGGAUUUGCGAAACCCAAGGUGCAUGCCGAGGGGCGGUUGGCCUCGUAAAAAGCCGCAAAAAAAUAGUCGCAAACGACGAAACCUACGCUUUAGCAGCUUAAUAACCUGUUUAGAGCCCUCUCUCCCUAGCCUCCGCUCUUAGGACGGGGAUCAAGAGAGGUCAAACCCAAAAGAGAUCGCGCGGAUGCCCUGCCUGGGGUUGAAGCGUUAAAACGAAUCAGGCUAGUCUGGUAGUGGCGUGUCCGUCCGCAGGUGCCAGGCGAAUGUAAAGACUGACUAAGCAUGUAGUACCGAGGAUGUAGGAAUUUCGGACGCGGGUUCAACUCCCGCCAGCUCCACCA
rnacentral:tmRNA from 1 species